rnacentral:lncRNA from 1 species
CUUCCUGGGCCUGGGACCCGAGGGGAGCCGAGCGGGAAUUGCUUUCCUGGUUCGAUCCGCUGCCGCUGUGAGGGCCGAGCGGAAACCCGUAGACCUUUUAUGUGAAGAGAUUGCGGCCUCCUGGUCACCAGUCACCGAGAGAGGGACCCCUGGACCGCCUACGUGGUGGUGUCUGCCGCAGGCCAUAGGGAUCCAGCCCACUUAGGCAGUCCCUUGGGGACGCGGCCUUCCCUCCGGAGCGGAAAGGCGCUUCCCGCCCGCCCUGCGGUAAUCCCGGAAGCCCUCAGCCGUUAAGCUAAAAUUUCUGUUGCUUUGGCUACUGAUGGAAACCUGUUAUACAUCUCACUAUGUUGCUCAGACUGGUCUGGAACUCCUGGCCUCAAG